rnacentral:rRNA from 1 species
GACGAACGCUGGCGGCGUGCUUAACACAUGCAAGUCGAACGGAAAGGCCCUGCUUUUGUGGGGUGCUCGAGUGGCGAACGGGUGAGUAACACGUGAUUAACCUGCCCUUGACUUUGGGAUAACUUCAGGAAACUGGGGCUAAUACCGGAUAGGAGCUCCUGCUGCAUGGUGGGGGUUGGAAAGUUUCGGCGGUUGGGGAUGGACUCGCGGCUUAUCAGCUUGUUGGUGGGGUAGUGGCUUACCAAGGCUUUGACGGGUAGCCGGCCUGAGAGGGUGACCGGCCACAUUGGGACUGAGAUACGGCCCAGACUCCUACGGGAGGCAGCAGUGGGGAAUAUUGCACAAUGGGCGGAAGCCUGAUGCAGCAACGCCGCGUGCGGGAUGACGGCCUUCGGGUUGUAAACCGCUUUCGCCUGUGACGAAGAGUGAGUGACGGUAAUGGGUAAAGAAGCACCGGCUAACUACGUG